GUGGGACCACAAAGGUGGCUUCCACAGUGCAUAGUGGUUAUCAGCUGUGCCUCCCUCUUAGAGGUCCUCGGAGUCCAGAGUCCUCGAAGGGAAAUCUGACACAAAGAAGCAGGUAAAUGAAGGAGAAAAGAAAAGAACAAAAUCCACCGGGAACCAGAGACUUCCAGGCUCCAAAGACAGGCAAUCUCCACCAGGAAUAUAGACAGGAUUUCCACAUGUCGCCCAGGCUGAUCUCAGACUCCUGACCUGGAUCUUCCCACCUCAGCCACUGAACGUGCUGGGAUUACAGCUUAAAUAGGUCUACUUGAAGUUCACAACUGCCAAAACCGCGUGUUCAGACUGAAAGGCUGGGAGCAUUUCAGACGCAUUUAUGAACUUCCACCAAGAUGAUCCGGCAGGCUGAAAUCGCAGGGAGAGCGUCUGUUCAACAAACCCUUUCUUCUUGAUUGAAUUAGUGUUACCCACUAACAGGAUGAGGAAUUCCCACUCCACAAGCUGACUUUUUUUCCUCUUUCCACCUCCCGCCUCCCUCCAUUAAAAUGUAAACUUGAUUCCUGUGUCCUUUGCCGGAGCCUGGCUUCCCUGUAAGCCCAUCAUAAACAUCUUGGUAGAAAUGCAA
rnacentral:lncRNA from 10 species